AUGCCGCGCGACCGCGACGAGCCGGCGGCCGUGCGCGUCUACACGGUCUGCGACGAGUCCAAGUACCUCGUCGUCCGGAACGUGCCGGCCCUCGGAUGCGGCGACGAGCUCGGCUCCGUGUUCGCGGCGUACGGCCCGCUGGAAGAGUGCAAGCCCAUGGACGCCGAGGACUGCGAGGAGUACACCGACGUCUACUUCAUCAAGUUCGCGCAGGUCAGCAACGCGAGGUUUGCAAAGAGGAAGUUGGACGAGUCUGUAUUUCUUGGCAACCGGCUGCAGGUUUCAUAUGCACCUCAGUUUGAAAGUCUUCUGGAUACCAAGGAGAAACUGGAAGUCAGGAGAAAUGAAGUCCUCAGACGAAUAAGAUCACCUGCUGGAAGCAGACCUGAAGGGCUAUCACAGUAUUCACCGGGUCAGGGAUCAUCUAGUGGGAACCCACACCAUCAUAUGAACUCCAACAAGAGGGAAUACAUGAAGACAAUGCCCGCUACUCAUAUCGAAGAUGAUCGUUUCAGCCAUGUGCCCUCUAAUAAGGACUAUUUCCCGUCCGAGUCGAUGAAUGCAACUGUAAAUCUAGUGAGGCAGAAGCUUGACAAGAUACAGUCCGGCGGCGACGCUCCCGAUGCUGCUGCCGCCGCAUCCAAGAAACCACGGGCCGAUAACCGCAGGCGUAUUUGA
rnacentral:rRNA from 1 species